rnacentral:lncRNA from 1 species
GUGGCAGCGGGAGCACUUAGAAAGUUCCUUCCACUCUUUGACAAAGUAUUGGUUGAAAGAAGUGUCACCGAAGCUGUAACCAAAGGGGGCAUUAUGCUUCCAGCAAAAAUCUCAAGGAAAGGUAUGGCAGUAGCUGUUGGAUCAGGGUCUAAAGCAAAGGGCAAAGAAAUUCAACCAGUUAGUGUGAAAGUUGAAGAUAAAGUUUUCCCACAAUAUGAAGGCACGAAAGUAGUUCUAGAUGACAAGGAUUAGAAUUAUUUCUUAUUUAGAGAUGGUGACAUUCUUGGAAAAUAUGUAGACUG